AAAUAAAACAUAUGACCAUGGUUUGUUUAUUUGGUCUAUUCAGCAUGGCUCUGUUCUGCCCUGCCUUGCCCCCUUGUGGAGCUCAAAAGUUAGUUUCUUACUGUUAUAACUCAAAUCUGUGAUUUUGUCAAUGCAAUAAACUAUUUUUAUAGCUGUGUUUAUUAUGUUAUUUGUAAUAUUGUUUUAUUGCUAUAUCCUUAUAUUGUAUUCUAAUUAAUAAUUCCUCUUUAUUCUGUACUUUCAGAAACCACAAACAGUAUUUGCCAAUAUCAUAACUGGACAUCUUUCGAGCUGAAGAUUGAGGACAGCUUUUGUAUGCUAACGUUCUCUCCUUAACAGUUUUACUGGAUGGAAACACAGCAAGAAAACACAUAGGCCAAUAUUGACUGAACAACAACUGCAUUUCCACCCCCACCUCUAAAGGCAUAGUAUCAUGGCAGGUCACCUGUCAAGUCACCUGUCAGACAGGCAGACUUUGCAGUGCCUCCGUGUGCGACUACCUUGAGCAGCAGUUUGAGGGACUUUGCAGGGAAAAUGCCGUGCAGUGAGGCGUAGGGGAUUGUCUAAAGCAGGGCGACCCCCAGUGGAGGGGCGCCGAGGGGUGUGGUGCUCCUCCAACAGCUCUCUCAUGAGGUUCUCUCUGUAUUUUUGGUGGUCCACCUUCCCUGUGGCCGACAUGGUUGCUGUAUGGACAGUGGAGAGGACAUGGACGUCUCUUUUGUCAUGCCACUUUACUGCCAGCUGUUGACCGUUCUCCUGGAACUCCACCUCCCCUCUCUGCAUCUUCCUGCAUCCGAAUGCCAGCAUCCCCUUCCUGUUCGACCUGACUGUGCCACAGGCCCCUGUGCUGUUGGAGAGCAGAUGCUGGAAGAGUGUGGGACUGCUGUACCAAUUGUCCACGUACAAAGUGUGUCCCUUGCCGAGAUGAGGAGCCAGCAUGGUCAUCACCACGGACCCAGACACCCCAAGCCCCUCAUAAUGUUUGAUGUCAGUGGUAGACCCUGUGUACACUAUAAUAUCCAGGACAUAUCCUGUCUUCACGUCGCACAUGACAAAGAACUUGACCCCAAACCUGUGCCUUUUGGAGGGAAUAUAUUGACGGAACGCCAGCCUACCUUUCCAUAACAUCAGGGACUCAUCAAUGCAUAGGUCCUUGUAUGGCAC